GCUCUCUAGAUGGGAUAACUCAGUUGGUAAAACAUGAGACUCUUAAUCUCAGGGUCAUGGGUUUGAGCCACACACUGGGCA